rnacentral:rRNA from 1 species
GACGAACGCUGGCGGCGUGCUUAACACAUGCAAGUCGAACGGAAAGGCCCUGCUUUUGUGGGGUGCUCGAGUGGCGAACGGGUGAGUAACACGUGAGUAACCUGCCCUUGACUUUGGGAUAACUUCAGGAAACUGGGGCUAAUACCGGAUAGGAGCUCCUGCUGCAUGGUGGGGGUUGGAAAGUUUCGGCGGUUGGGGAUGGACUCGCGGCUUAUCAGCUUGUUGGUGGGGUAGUGGCUUACCAAGGUUUUGACGGGUAGCCGGCCUGAGAGGGUGACCGGCCACAUGGGGACUGAGAUACGGCCCAGACUCCUACGGGAGGCAGCAGUGGGGAAUAUUGCACAAUGGGCGGAAGCCUGAUGCAGCAACGCCGCGUGCGGGAUGACGGCCUUCGGGUUGUAAACCGCUUUCGCCUGUGACGAAGCGUGAGUGACGGUAAUGGGUAAAGAAGCACCGGCUAACUACGUG